rnacentral:rRNA from 1 species
GACGAACGCUGGCGGCGUGCUUAACACAUGCAAGUCGAACGGAAAGGCCCUGCUUUUGUGGGGUGCUCGAGUGGCGAACGGGUGAGUAACACGUGAGUAACCUGCCCUUGACUUUGGGAUAACUUCAGGAAACUGGGGCUAAUACCGGAUAGGAGCUCCUGCUGCAUGGUGGGGGUUGGAAAGUUUCGGCGGUUGGGGAUGGACUCGCGGCUUAUCAGCCUGUUGGUGGGGUAGUGGCUUACCAAGGCUUUGACGGGUAGCCGGCCUGAGAGGGUGACCGGCCACAUUGGGACUGAGAUACGGCCCAGACUCCUACGGGAGGCAGCAGUGGGGAAUAUUGCACAAUGGGCGGAAGCCUGAUGCAGCAACGCCGCGUGCGGGAUGACGGCCUUCGGGUUGUAAACCGCUUUCGCCUGUGACGAAGCGUGAGUGACGGUAAUGGGUAAAGAGGCACCGGCUAACUACGUG